AACGAACGCUGGCGGCAUGCCUAACACAUGCAAGUCGAACGAGACCUUCGGGUCUAGUGGCGCACGGGUGCGUAACGCGUGGGAACCUGCCCUUAGGUUCGGAAUAACUCCCCGAAAGGGGUGCUAAUACCGGAUAAUGUCUUCGGACCAAAGAUUUAUCGCCUUUGGAUGGGCCCGCGUUGGAUUAGCUAGUUGGUAGGGUAAAAGCCUACCAAGGCGACGAUCCAUAGCUGGUCUGAGAGGAUGAUCAGCCACACUGGGACUGAGACACGGCCCAGACUCCUACGCGAGGCAGCAGUGGGGAAUAUUGGACAAGGGGCGAAAGCCUGAUCCAGCAAUGCCGCGUGAGUGAUGAAGGCCUUAGGGUUGUAAAGCUCUUUUACCCGGGAUGAUAAUGACAGUACCGGGAGAAUAAGCUCCGGCUAACUCCGUG
rnacentral:rRNA from 1 species